GACGUAGGGCGCGAGCGUUGUCCGGAUUUAUUGGGCGUAAAGAGCUCGUAGGCGGCUUGUUGCGUCGGCUGUGAAAACCCGCGGCUUAACUGUGGGCUUGCAGCUGAUACGGGCAGGCUAGAGUUCGGUAGGGGAGACUGGAAUUCCUGGUGUAGCGGUGAAAUGCGCAGAUAUCAGGAGGAACACCGGUGGCGAAGGCGGAUCUCUGGGCCGAUACUGACGCUGAGGAGCGAAAGCGUGGGGAGCGAACAGG
rnacentral:rRNA from 1 species